UACGGAGGGGGCAAGCGUUAUUCGGAAUUAUUGGGCGUAAAGGGCGCGUAGGCGGCUAGAUGUGUCAAAGGUGAAAUCCCUCGGCUCAACUGAGGAACUGCCUUUGAAACUGUCUGGCUUGAGGCCGGGAGAGGGUAGCGGAAUUCCCAGUGUAGCGGUGAAAUGCGUAGAUAUCUGGAGGAACACCGGUGGCGAAGGCGGCAUCCUGGACCGACACUGACGCUGAGGAGCGAAAGCCAGGGGAGCAAACGGG
rnacentral:rRNA from 1 species